CAACAAUGAAUUCCAUCACCACUGUGCUGGAGUUUGAGAAGGAGGUUGGCGGUUUCUUUCUCCAAGAUGCUUGCAUUGCUCCUAAUUGGGUUAGCUGGGAUUGGGACGCACUGGCAGUCUGUGAGUUCCCAGUUUGUAUGGAAGGACUCUCAGUUUCUCUUCCAGAGAAGAUAGGCAGAAGCUAAAUAUGGUCUCUCCUCCUGCACAGCUGUAGAAUCUCAUAGCUGUGGGUACCACUGGUAAGUGCUCCACUGCUGGGGAUGAAGGGUGUGGUCAGCUGGGCUCUACUCAAGUCCCUCUGGAGGCUGCUGCUUUGGUCUGGUUUCCCCCUCCUCUUUGCAAAGUCAUACAUAGGCUGUGUCUGGACCACAGUGGAGUUAAAGUCUCCUCUCGCCCUCCCAGCCUGGGGCCCUUAUAUCAUGUCCCCUUCUGCGGGUAGCUGUGUGCAGAGCUGCCUCUUACCUCUGAGUCCUUCUCCACUUGGCUGUGGAGGAUGUAUCUAAACUCCUUUCACUGUCAACCUCUACAUCCAAAGCCACCACUUCAUCUAAAAUGGAGAAAACUUUUCUUAUGGUCAUGGGGCCAUGACCUUUGUCUUCACUUCAUGCUUUCUUUUUACUGCCUUAGCCUGAGCAUUGUGGGUAGGGUUGCUGGGGAGUCUGGAUGGGAUCAGAGGCUGUGGAGAGUGAAUGCCAUUCCAUUGAAAAUACUGAAUAAACUGAACAGAACUGAGAAGGAAUAUUUAUGAAGAGACUGGGAGGUGAAACCAAUACGGCUGGAGCUCAGAGAACCCCCACACCCACAUCCAGCCCUGAUGCGAGACUUGCGCCCAGUGAGUGCUUACAGUUGGUGGGCACUGCAGUUGUAGAACUUGAACUCGGUGCUGACAAAUAUCUUCCCUGUCUCCUUGGAUCUCAGCUGCAGCUCCAGCCCAAACCAGUCUGGGGAGAAAAAAAGGAGAGGGUAACAUCCUGGGGACUCAGUGGACCAUCCAUUAAGCCACUCCAGGGCUCUCUUGGGGCACAGAUGGUAGAUAAAUGCUGCCUGGGUCAUCUCUUCCCAAGAAGGUCCCUCUGGUCCUGUUGAGACACCCGUCACUGAGACCCAGACGCCCUCAAGCCCCCUCUUAGGGGAAACAGAAUGAAUCACAUCCCAAAGAAACCCUUGCUUUGGUCAGGCAUCUUCAGUUACUGAAGGACUUUCAGAAAUAUUAGGCCAGAACCCCUCAAGCCCCCAGGUUCCAUGGGGAGAAGCCCACUGAAAAUCACUGGCUGGAGCCACUGCCAUCCCUAGAAGGGAAGGGAAGUCUGGAGAAACUCUGCGCGCUGUGCAGACUUAGCCCAAAUGGGAGCAAGGGAUUUCCUUCUUUCUGAAUUUUGCUUUGGAGCAUGAUAAUUAGCCUUCAAACUCAAAUAAGUUAUAUAAGCCCAUGUUAGGGUCUGCGAUAUGAAGGCUUGGUCAGGCAACUUUUGUGCUAGUGCUCGCCACCUCUUCCCCUGUGAUCCUCUACUCUUGACCACUCUGGUAGGGCAGCCCCUGGCAUGUGACCGUCAUGGCACGCACUUCUUACCUUGAUCCAGAGGGAUGACAGGGACAUCCUUGGGCCCUGGUGAGAUGCAGAUGACCUGGCUCCCAGACACCUGUCCCUCCACCUCCGUCAGGUUCCCAAAGGCACAGGAGAUGCCCACAGACAGGUCAGGAGCAUCGCUCACAACCAAGCUGAGCUGUGGGUGGAGCAAAGAGAUGAGGCCGUAGGAAGAGUCCUAGGGGCUCAGGAGACCUGAGCUCCGGCCUGGCCCUGCUGUGGCCUGCUUGCUGACCAAUCUCCCCCAACCUCAUCUCUACAGGAGGACAUGGGUAGUGCAGUCAAUGGUCUUUAUUAAUAUCACUGUUCAUUUCUUUUUCAGUCUUGUCCAGCGUCAGAAAGGACUGGGUGAGGGGCACUAGAGGGACAGGUACCCAAAUCCAUCUCAGGCCCUCAUCAUUCUGACCUGAAAAACCAUGACAAUGGAAAGCAUGUCAUGAGCUGAGCCCUUUUGCAAUCAAGCCUUAACACUGGUUUUCCAAUCUGGAGGCUUACUAGGUGCUCUGCUGGCUGACAGCUCCCUUCCAGUAGGACAGUGGCUUCACAAGGAACUGUGGGGAUCAGAGAAAGCAAGGAAUGUGGACACCAGCAGCUCGGAUGAUGUCUGCUGCUGCCGAUGGGUUCCACUGAUCUAGGCCAGUGCCUUCCAGCCUUUUCAGGUUUGCAUACCCUCCUUUGAAUGGUAAAAAUACCACAGCCGCCGCCCCCGAAAUGAGUUUGUUCUCAAUUACCACAAUAGAACAUCUAAGUGAAAUCUGACACAAUAGGCAAAAAAUGCGACUGGCUUCCUGGAGCAACCAGGAGUGACCAUAAGGGUUCAUGGUGGUGACAAUACCCUCCCUCCCCAUAACCCCCCCACCGGAGCCUCCAAGUUGGGAACCGCACUGUAGGUAGGUCUCCCUUUGUCUUCCUACCAACACCUGGCUGUAUUUAUUUGCAGUGGCUUCUCACUCACAAUGAGCGUCACCUCGCCUCUCCAAACAUUUGUUUGCUGCUGAAUCUCUGCCCCAGUUUCGUUUCCAUGGGGCCAAGAGACUUAGGUACAAACUCCCCUGUUUGUUCCCUCAGCUCCAUGGGAAUCAGAGCCUCCUGGUGGGGAUGAAUGAACCAAAAUCUUGGAAGGUUCAUUAACUAAUUAACAUCCGUAAAUGCUCAUAAAACCUUCAGAAUGAAAUAAUCACGCAGGGCCUAAGGACAUGAAAUAUUUGAGGUUGUACCUCGACAGGUGGUUAAGGGCUAUUUUAUUCUCUUUAAUAUUCUCUUUAAGUACACACUGACUGUGACUUAUGUCUCAGUCUCUUGGCAUCUGUCUCUCCUCUAUGUGUCUCUCUCUGUCUCUGUCUCUGUCUCUCUCUCUCACACACACACACACACACACACACACACAGGCAACUCUAGGUCUCUGUGAAAAACUGCAUGGAGUGGAGGCAUGUAAAUACAGCACACAGCCGAGAAUGUGUUAUUUAGAGUCGGACUGCACUACGUUGUAGAGGUUUGUUACUAAAUGCAGAAUCUAGAUUUACAAAACAGAUCAAUGGGUAAUGAGUUUGCAAGGAGUGCGGAGAAUGACUGUGCCCUUUACCAUAGGAGCUACCGUAGGCUUUCAUUGUCUACAAACACCGUUUCCUUGGAGCAUUUCAAGUGUGAGCCAGCGACAGAUACACGUGUUCAAGGAACACGCGUUCCCAGCCCCAGCCCCAGCCCCAGCCCCCUGGAGGAGUUUCUUACCCGCCGGCUGUGCUCAGACACGGAGAUGCUGCUGGGAUGCACCUCGAGGCUCAUGCACUGGCUGAUGCUGGCGGCAAAUCGAUUAGGUUCCCAGGCCCGCUGGCACUUGUCCCUGCGGGAGCACCUGCCGCAGACACAGAUUCACAAGGGGUCAGGCCUCUGAGACCCAUCUUCACUGUCCCCUGGGGGUUUUUAAGAGGGGUUUGCUGCUCUGAGGCUCGUAGCUUGUCUUCUCAUGACACUUUUCACUUACCCCAGAGGGCUUGGGUGACUCCCAGAUGGUCCUGAUCACAGUUACACAGAGACUAAGAGGAGGUGGGAUUAACCCUCAGUAUGAGACAUACGGUUUAGACCAAGAGAAUAGCUCCUGAUAGGCAGCAUCUUUAUAGGACAUUCGUGGAGCAAGGGUGGGAAGUUUGGAGAAUGUGAGGAGCAGCACACAAGACUUGCAGAAUAUGAGCCCUGGAGCCAGAGGGCCUGGGUACUCCCCACACCCCCUGCAAUUGACUUCGUACUGUGUCCCCCUGGGCAAGCAACUUAAUCUGUCCAUGCCUCAGUUUCCUCAAGCCUAAAAUGGUGAAGAUAGUGAUAAUACCCUACCUCCUAGGGCUGGUGUAAGGAUUAAAAUUAAGUACCUAAAUGGCAUUUUAGGGGCUCCUGGGUGGCUCAGUCAGUUGAAGGUCCGACUCUUGAUUUCGACUCAGGUCUUGAUCUCAGGGUCAUGGGAUGGAGGCCUGGGUGGGGCUCCCCGCUGAGAC